GAUGAACGCUGGCGGCGUGCUUAACACAUGCAAGUCGAACGGGAAACCUUUUAUUGAAGCUUCUGCAGAUUUAGCUGGUUUCUAGUGGCGGACGGGUGAGUAACGCGUGGGUAACCUGCCCUAUACAGGGGGAUAACAACCAGACAUGGUUGCUAAUACCGCAUAAGCGCACAGGGCCGCAUGGUCCGGUGUGAAAAACUCCGGUGGUAUAGGAUGGACCCGCGUUGGAUUAGCCAGUUGGCAGGGUAACGGCCUACCAACGCGACGAUCCAUAGCCGGCCUGAGAGGGUGAACGGCCACAUUGGGACUGAGACACGGCCCAGACUCCUACGGGAGGCAGCAGUGGGGAAUAUUGCACAAUGGGGGAAACCCUGAUGCAGCGACGCCGCGUGAAGGAAGAAGUAUCUCGGUAUGUAAACUUCUAUCAGCAGGGAAGAUAGUGACGGUACCUGACUAAGAAGCCCCGGCUAACUACGUG
rnacentral:rRNA from 1 species